ACAGCACUGGGCCAGUCCUCCCAGUAUGGACCAGUCGGGUCCCUGGACAGGUCCAGGUCUCCCAGCAAGGGCUGGGACAGGCCCUGAAUCCUCAGCCCUGCGCUUCCCAUGCUGCCAGCGGGGCGGGGACAUCCCCGUAUCCCAUCCCAGUGCUCCAGGUCCAUUCCAGUGCUCCAGGUCCAUCCCAGUGCUCCAAGUCCAGUCCAGUGCUCCCAGUGUCCCAUCCCAGUGCUCCUAUCCCAGUCCACCCCAGUGCUUCCAUCCCAGUGCUCCCACCCCAUCCCAUUUGCUUCCAUCCCAGUGCUCCCAGUCCAUCCCAUCCCAGUGCUCCCAGUCCAACCCAGUGCUCCCAGUCCAGUCCAACCCAGUGCUCCCAGUGUUCCAUCCCAGUGCUCCCAGUCCAUCCCAGUGCUCCCAGUGUCCCAUCCCAGUGCUCCCGGUCCAUCCCAGUCCACCCCAGUGCUCCCAGUGUUCUAUCCCAGUGCUCCCAGUCUAUCCCAUGCUCCCGUCCCAGUCCAUCUCAGUGCUCCCAGUCCACCCCCCAAAUGUUCCCAUCCCAGUGCUCCCAGUCCAUCCCAGUGCUCCCAGUCCACCCCGCCAAUGUUCCCAGUNNNNNNNNNNCCAAUGUUCCCAGUCCAACCCAGUCCAUCCCAGUGCUCCCAGUCCACGCCCCCAAUGUUCCCAUCCCAGUGCUCCCAGUCCAUCCCAGUCCAUCCCAGUCUCCCGUCCCAGUGCUCCCAGUCCACCCCCCCAAUAUUCCCAUCCCAGUCCAUCCCAGUGCUCCCAAUCCACCCCACCAAUGAUCCCAGUCCAACCCAGUCCACCCCAGUCCAUCCCAGUCUCCCACCCCAGUGCUCCCAGUCCAUCCCAGUGCUCCCAGUCCAACCCAGUCCACCCCAGUCCAUCCCAGUCUCCCACCCCAGUGCUCCCAGUCCAUCCCAGUGCUCCCAGUCCAACCCAGUCCAUCCCAGUCCAUCCCAGUGCUCCCAGUCCAACCCGCCAGUGCUCCCAGUCCACCCCAGUCCAUCCCAGUCUCCCACCCCAGUGCUCCCAGUCCAUCCCAGUGCUCCCAGUCCAACCCAGUCCAUCCCAGUCCAUCCCAGUGCUCCCAGUCCACCCCAGUCCAUCCCAGUCCAUCCCAGUUUCCCGUCCCAGUGCUCCCAGUCCAUCCCAGUCUCCCGUCCCGCAGGUACCACAGCCUGUACCUGAAGGUCAAGGGCAACGUGUUCAAGAACAAGCGGAUCCUGAUGGAGCACAUCCACAAGCUGAAGGCCGACAAGGCCCGCAAGAAGCUGCUGGCGUAAGUGCUGCUGCAGGGGGGCUCNNNNNNNNNNUUCCAAAAUUCAUUAACAGCACCGGGAUUAUGGGUGUGGAGUUGGUGAGGAG
rnacentral:lncRNA from 1 species